rnacentral:lncRNA from 1 species
AGUCUUUUUGAUCCUUAAGAAGAGGAGCAAAGCUUUUGGAACGAGCUGAGAUUCCACUUUAGAUCCACGUACGUGGCUCAGGCAGAAGGUGAGUUUUUGGCAAAUUUGGGUGGGAUCGUACUGUGCGCUUUGUGCCUUGUCACUUAAAGCAGUGGCCGCCAACCUUUUUGGCAGCAGGAACAGGUUUUGUGGAAGACAAUUUUUCCACAGACCAGGGCUGGGGGUGGGGGAUAGUUUUGGGAUGAUUCAAGCACGUUACAUUUAUUAUGCAUUUUUAUAUUAUUACAUUGUAACAUAUAAUGAAAUAAUUAUACAACUUACCAUAAUGUAGAAUCAAUGGGAGCCCUGAGCUUGUUUUCCUGAAACUAGACAGUCUCAUCUGGGGGUGAUGGGAGACAGUGACAGAUCAUUCGAUUCUCCUAAGGAGCAUGCAACCUAGAUCCCUCGCAUGCGUAGUUCAUAAUUAAUAGGGUCUGCACUCCUAUGAGAAUCUAAUGCUGCAGCUGAUCUGACAGGAGGCGGAGCUCAGGUGGUCAUGCUCACCCGCUGCUGCUCACCUCCUACUGUGCAGCCAGGUUCUAACAGCCACAGACCCAUACUGGUCUGUGGCCCUGGGGCUGGGGACCUCUGACUUACUUAAAGCAAUUUAAAAACUCACCAGAGCUCACUAUUUAAAGGGACCCAACAGCAAAUCCUCUAAUAAGGUAACAGGAGUCCCUGCUUCCCCGCGUUGGUCUCAACUUUGUCUUCUGCAUUGUAGCUGGUCUCUAACGUGUAGGAGCCAGAACGGAGAGGUCUUUCCUUAGGGCACCUGUAGAGUCCCUCCUGAAUCAAGGCUUCCAUGUGGACCUUUAUUUUUAUUUUAUUUUUUUGAGACGGAGUUUCGCUCUUGUUGCCCAGGCUCUGUUUAAAAAAAAAAAAAAAAAAAGGUUUAUUAUUGCUAAUACUAUGGAGGGGCUCAGAGAUGUGAGGAAUAAGACAAAGCUGCUUUAUUUGGUGAAUGGCAGUCAUUAGUGACUUUUAAAAGAGCAGCUUGGUAGAAUGUAGGGAGGUUGGGUUAUUUUCUUUUUUACAGAUACUAUUUAUUAGGCACUAUAUAAGAUUAAAAGAGACUUUAACACCUCUUUUAAAAAAAGGCUUUAUCUCUUUCAAUGCUUACACUGACUCUUUUAACACCCUUUUUAUAGAUGAAAAGUGCGAUUGAGAGAGGUUAAGUGACUUGUUCAAGCCCUUGUAUAAAUUAAGUAUGGACACAGGAUUUAACCCAGUUGUGUCUGAUCCUAAAGCUUAUCAUUUUAAUGAGUUGCCUCCUCUCUCAUUCAUGGAAGCCAGAAUGCAAGUGGUUAAGGAGUAAUAAAGAGGUGAAUGUAGCCAGUAUAGAGGACUCUUAGGACAGGUUUGGCAGAGGUGAAAGGGAAGAGAUGGGAUGUUGCUUCUGGUUAGCAAGGGAGAGGAACAUUUCU